rnacentral:lncRNA from 1 species
CGCGACCGGAGCGCCUGACGCUGGGGGGCCGUGUGGGCCCUGACUUCCGGAGGGCUGGGCCCUGGUCCUCCGCCACCGCGUGCGCCCCUUAAAGACCCCUGCCCGCCGCCCAGGACGGAUGGCGACCCCGGCCCUAGCCUGUCCCCAGACCCUGGACCAAGGCCCCGGCCCUGCCCCGAACCCCUCAUCCCACCCCCAGGACCCAGGCCCCGACCCUGGCCACCCAGGACACGCCCUGGCCCUUCCCCGAACUCCCACCCCACAGCUGGGAUCAAGGUCCCGGCCCUGCCCGGAACACCUCACCCCACACCCGGGACCCAGGCCCCGGCCCUGCCCCGAACUCCCACCCCACACCCGGGACCAAGGCCCCGGCCCUGCCCCGAACCCCUCACCCCACCCCCGGGACCAAGGCCCCGGCCCUGCCCAGAACUCCCACCCCACACCCGGGACCAAGGCCCCGGCCCUGCCCAGAACUCCCACCCCACACCCGGGACCAAGGCCCCGGCCCUGCCCCGAAGGCCCCACCGGGGACCCAGGCCCCGGCCCUGCCCCAAACUCCCACCCCACACCCGGGACCAAGGCCCCGGCCCUGCCCCGAACGCCCCACCCGGGACCCAGGCCCCGGCCCUGCCCCAAACUCCCACCCCACACCCGGGACCAAGGCCCCGGCACUGCCCCGAACGCCCCACCAGGGACCCAGGCCCCAGCCCUGUCCCGAACUCCCGCCCCACACCUGAGACGAAGGUCCCGGCCCCGAAGUCCCAACCCCACACCCGGGACCAAGGCCCCGGCACUGCCCCGAACCCCCGCCCCACACCCCUAACCAAGGCCUCGGCUCAGCCCCGGAAUCCCCAACCCCACACCUGGGAUCAAGGCCCCGGCCCUUCCCCAAACCCCCAACCCACACCCGGGACCAAAAGGCCCCGGCCCCACGUUUCCUAGAGGCGCUGGGUUCGGGCCCACGUUGCAACGAGUCAGAUGCUCUUGGUAGCUCAGGGAGGUGUUCACACUCCUGCCGUUUCCGUGAGGAUGGUGACGACUCCGAACUAUAGCAGCAUACUCUACCUACCCCUGAUCAGUUUAUGGAAGAAAAGGAAACCAAACAAAUGGUUUUGCCGUUGUUACUGCUCACCUGGUUUGAUUCAGUGGCGUCGCGGUUGGUCUCUGCUACAGUCCAUUACUCACAGUGCCAGCACAUGUUUCCUUAAAAAGCUUCAUCACCAUCCUCCUGCAAUGCGACCUUCACCGGCUCCCCGUUGCCUGCCCAGGAGGAUAAAGUCCAAGUUCUCCUGUGGAAAGAAGACCCUUCACACGCUAGUCCCAGCCUGUCUUCAGCCCAGCCCCCUGUGUUUCCUUUCCUGCCUUAUCCUAAGACAUCCUUACCUUCCAAUCACACUCACUUUCCGAGCAUUUUUGAAGGUAUUGAGGGAGUUGAUGAGUCUACACUUGAAUAAAAUACAGACUUUACACUCCAGACUGCACAGUUGACAGGUGAGAAGCAGAGGUUGACCUAAACACUGCAGAGAAUGUUGGAUGGAAAGUUGGGACUUAAAAUCUUGAUUUGGCAAAAUCACAGACUCAGCUGGAGAGGUGAGUGUUGGCCAGGACAUGGGACCCACUUCCUCUAAGACGGACAGGAGCUCAGAGCCCCGGACUUCAGUUUUGUGGACGAGGAGGUCAGGUUGUUUGCUGAAGAUGAGGGUGGACCGAUAGGGUGGAGAAACAAUGGGGUCUGUAAAAAUGCUUGAGGCAGGUGCUUGGAGGAGGACGGACAUUUGCCAGUGUCCACUUCAUUGCCCACUCCCACCUGUGGGUGCUGGGGACUCAGCCUGCUCUUCCUCCUCUUCAGAGUUGUCACCUAUUGUGUUCAUGGAAGUCCUUCUCCAACCCCCAUUUAAGACCAGCUAAUCAGGGAGAGUCCCAAUUCCCCAUGAGCUUACUUUGUUUUGUUUGUUUGUUUGUUUGUUUUGAGACGGAGUUUCACUCUUGUCGCCCAGGCUGGAGUGCAGUGGCAUGAUCUCGGCUCACUGCAACCUCUGCUCCUGGGUUCAAGCGAUUCUCCUUCCUCAGCCUCCUGAGUAGCUGGGAUUACAGGCGCCUGCCACCAUGCCUGGCUAAUUUUUGUAUUUUUGGUAGAGAUGGGCGGGGGGUGUCUCACCAUGUUGGCCAGUCUAGUCUUGAACUCCUAACCUCAGGUGAUCCGCCCGCCUUGGCCUCCCAAGUGCUGGGAUUACAGGCGCGAGCCACUGCACCCGGCCUGAUCUUGCUUUUUAAGCGAUUGCAAUUCCACCUGGUGCUAUGGUGAUCUGGGGUUCCAUGGCCUGUUUACCAGAAGAGCAAUGCUUUUGUUGUGCUAUAUUGUUAUUUCAGUUAUUUUUUUAUUUUUUAUUUUUUGUCUUUUUUUGUUUGUUUGUUUUGUUUUGUUUUGUUUGAGACAGGGCCUCAGCC